rnacentral:tRNA from 1 species
GCCCCUAUAGCUCAGGGGAUAGAGCACCGCCCUCCGGAGGCGGGAGCGCAAGUUCGAAUCUUGCUAGGGGCG